rnacentral:rRNA from 1 species
CAUAACCUUUAGCUAAACCAGUAUUAAAGGCAACGCCUGCCCAGUGAAUAAUUAAACGGCCGCGGUACCCUAACCGUGCAAAGGUAGCGUAAUCAUUUGUCUAUUAAUUGUAGACCCGUAUGAAAGGCAUAAUGAGGGUUUAACUGUCUCUUUUAGUAUAUCAAUUAAACUGAUCUCCUAGUCCAAAAGCUAGGAUACCAACAUAAGACCAGAAGACCCUGUGAAACUUUAACUAAAAUAUUAAAGCCUAUAAUAACUACUUUAGGUUGGGGCGACCUUGGAAAAUAAAAGAACUUCCACACACAUAUUACAUAAUAAUAUAUAACCGGCCAACAAGCCUAUAACGACCCAGCACAGCUGAUAAUUGAACCAAGCUACUCCAGGGAUAACAGCGCUAUCUUCUUCAAGAGCCCAUAUCAAAAAGAAGGUUUACGACCUCGAUGUUGGAUCAGGACAUCCUAAUGGUGCAACCGCUAUUAAGGGUUCGUUUGUUCAACGAUUAAUAGUCCUACGUGAU